AUUAAACGCUGGCGGCAUGCCUUACACAUGCAAGUCGAACGGUAGCGCGGGGCAACCUGGCGACGAGUGGCGAACGGGUGAGUAAAGCAUCGGAACGUGCCCUGGAAUGGGGGAUAACGUAGCGAAAGUUACGCUAAUACCGCAUAUUCUGUGAGCAGGAAAGCAGGGGAUCGCAAGACCUUGCGUUCUGGGAGCGGCCGAUGUCGGAUUAGCUAGUUGGUGGGGUAAAAGCCUACCAAGGCGACGAUCCGUAGCUGGUCUGAGAGGACGACCAGCCACACUGGGACUGAGACACGGCCCAGACUCCUACGGGAGGCAGCAGUGGGGAAUAUUGGACAAUGGGGGGCAACCCUGAUCCAGCGACGCCGCGUGUGUGAAGAAGGCCUGCGGGUUGUAAAGCACUUUUAGUGGGGAGGAAGGUCUGCGACCUAACACGUCGUGGAAUUGACUUAACCCACAGAAAAAGCACCGGCUAACUCUGUGCCAGCAGCCGCGGUAAU
rnacentral:rRNA from 1 species